rnacentral:rRNA from 1 species
GACGUAGGGAGCGAGCGUUGUCCGGAUUCAUUGGGCGUAAAGGGCGCGUAGGCGGCUUUGCAAGUGACGGGUGAAAUCCCACGGCUUAACCGUGGAACUGCCUGUCAGACUGCAUGGCUUGAGACCAGGAGAGGUGAGUGGAAUUCCCAGUGUAGCGGUGAAAUGCGUAGAUAUUGGGAGGAACACCAGUGGCGAAGGCGGCUCACUGGACUGGUACUGACGCUGAGGCGCGAAGCG